rnacentral:rRNA from 1 species
UACGUAGGUGGCAAGCGUUGUCCGGAUUUAUUGGGUUUAAAGGGUGCGUAGGCUGCCCUGUAAGUCAGUGCUGAAAUAUCCCGGCUUAACCGGGAGGGUGGCAUUGAUACUGCGGGGCUAGAGUACAGAUGAGGUAGGCGGAAUUGACGGUGUAGCGGUGAAAUGCUUAGAUAUCGUCAAGAACACCUAUAGCGAAGGCAGCUUACUAGGCUGUAACUGACGCUGAGGCACGAAAGCGUGGGGAGCAAACAGG